AAGUGGGGAAAGAAGAAAAACAUGGAAGAGAAAAUAAGAGAAAAGGAGAGAAAAGAAGAAGAGAAAGAGGAAGAGGAAAGCUUGGAGAAAGAAGAAGAAACUCAUGAAAGAUCAUCAUCAUCUCCAAUAUUUCAUCUUCAUCUCAUCAAGGUAUUAUUUUGCAGGUUAAAGGUAAGAGGAGUUGCUUGUGGGUGUUCUAAAGUUUUAUUUAAUUGUGAUCUUUCGUUGUGGAUUGUAUGAAAUGAAGAUAUUGCACACAACUCUUAGCUUUUAUUUAGGCAAUAUUCUAUAACAUGUGCCAUAUAUGUUUCUUUUUAGUUUGGACAUGUGUAUAUAAUGAUUCCGUUAAACACUUGUGUUGUAUCAAUACCAAAAAUUAACACGUGUAUGAUAUUAUUCUAGAUAUAUAUUAUACGGUUUGUUAAACAAA